UCUCGAUGACUGCACCACAGGGUAAAAUGAACAAUCGGUUAUUCUCCCUUUCCUGGCAGAGGAGUUUCUUUGAAAUUUAUCAUCAGAAAAUCCACUCAACAACCAGUUCAAUCUACAUAAGAAAGAUAAGAUGUAAUCAAACUACCCCCCAAAUUGUCUAAAGACCAGAAUGAAAAGAAGAUCUCAGCAUAUCCACUGUGGCUACUAGGCCAUAUUAAACAUCAAUUUUUGAUUUUCCGGAAUGAGAAGAAAGGUUGAAUCAUCAAAGAUGACUAUGGGGGCUUGCACUAAGAGUCUACAAAGUCUUCAUUAUUGGAAAG
rnacentral:lncRNA from 10 species